CAUACAUGCUACUAUGUCCUUACUCUGUCUGGAAAACAGUUUCCUUGCAAUUAUCCUCUACCUCUGGCUUGUGUGAUCUCUCUGACACUUCUUCCAAGAAGAUCCCUCAGCCUUGGAGGAUUGGAUGUGAUAUGUACAACCUGUGUAGGACCAAGCACUCUAUGGCCUCUUAUUUUCUGCACAUUGAUCAGUUGAAGAUUUCCAUGGUGUUUUGUUGUUGUUGAGACCGAUGUGCACAAGAGAACUGGAUGGCCCCAGGGAGAAGACAAGAGAGAAAACAUUCUGAAAAAGGGGGCAAAAGAAUCUUGUCAGCCUGUCGUCACAGGAGGGAAAAACAACACUGAGCAGCAAAUACACGAAAGUGAAGAAGGCCACUCCUGAGUUGAGGCAGGAAGUCAUGACUGUGAUCCAUGAUGGUAGAGGGUGCCAGUUCUCUGCAUGCUUCAGAGAGUGGAGAUGUGGAGAUCAUGGCAACAGACCUGAGAACCUGGAGUAGCAGAACAGGGCAUAUGGAGACACUGGCCUCCUGUUCUUUCCUUGGUUGCAAAGCGCUGUCCACUCAUCUGGAGAGACCAAUGUCCUGGUCACUUUCCUGGCAAGGAGGUCCAGGCAGGUGGGAUUCUGAUGAAAGAUGUCACACUUAAAACCACUGAUGCUGGUACAAAGCCUGUCUGGCUGCUUGUAGGCUCCCCUGCCUGGGAUGUGACUUCUGGAUGCUGUUU